CUGAAAAUCCGGAUCUGGGCCACCAGAGGGCUGUAAUUCAUUGCUGUCUGUGGGCCGAGGGAAAACAGAUUAUGUGGACCGUAGCUGGGCCAGACAAAAAUUACUAUGUGGGUUGGUGGACACUGUGGAGUGGAGAAAACUCACCAUGCCAUAAUCACUAUAUUUUACUGGCCUGGCAUGGAGCAGGGUAUCUGCAAGAGGAUAGCUCAGUGUCAGGCCAGCAGAACAUCAAUAAAAAGAAGACAAACAAUCCCAUAGUAUAAAAAACCUCUUAUAUACUUUUAAGAUGUUAGCCUUAGUCCUGAAAGUUACAAAGACCGAUUCCCAUUUCAGGUCACAGAACCUCUGGAAUUAGUUGGCAUGGACCUUAUAGGUAAACUUACAGCAACUGAUAAUGGCCACAAAUAUAUCUGUGUGAUGGUGGACUAUUUCACCAAGUGUCCAGAAGCCUACCCACUUAAGACAAAGAGUGCAGAAGAGGUCACACGUUGCAUCCUUGAUUUUUUUUUUUUUUUUCUUUUACAAAUUUGGAGCACCAAAACAACAACUAACAGAUCAGGGAAGAGAGUUUGUUAACAAGGUCAAUUUUAGUCUGCGAUAAACUGGGGAUCACCAGGAAACUGUGUUCUCCCUACCAUCCUCAGACAAACUGCCUUGUUGAGAGAAUGAAUGGCACAAUUCAAAGUGUUGUUACAUCCUCAAUUUUGAUGAUCAGAAGCCUGACGAAACUCAAUCAUCGUGGCAUCGGAGACCAUGGAAGCUGUAAAACAAAACAUAGAACGGAGCCAGGACAAAGUCAGAAAGUGAAAGAUGGAAAGAGGACAGGGGGACAACUUUGUGGUUGGGGACAAAAUUUUGGUGAGGAACUUGCAACAAGAGAGCAGAAAGGGAGGAAAAAUGGAUCCAGAUAUGUUGGGUCCAUUCAUUGUCAUGAAAACUGAGGGGGAAAAUGUUGAUGUGGUCUCAUCGAAGUGGAAUACACUAAUCAAAUACAGACCACCUAAAAAAGUAUGUAGAGCCAGAGCCCCACAUUCCAAAUAGAUGGAUCCCAUCAACUCCACCCAGCCCUCUUCCUCCUCCCAGUCCUCUUCCUCCUCCCAGUCUUCUUCCUCCUUUCAGUCCUCCUCCUCCAUCCAGUCCCCCUCAUCCAUCCAGUAUUCCUCCUCACAGUCCCACCAAGAGUCUGUCAACUCCAAAAAACAAUAGCCCCACCACUCCUUGUUCCAAUGUUCUUUCCUCACAUCAGCCCGUUAUCCACUCAAUCCAGACCACAAAAAAGGCACAGACGAAACAUCCAUCUUGCACAUUUGACACCUUCCCAGCAUCUACAAAUUCUGAAGAGCAAGUGAUAAAUUAUAUAUGGGAGGGCAAGAAACGACAUCUGUUGCGGAGCAAGAUGGGUCCCAAUAAACUAUACACAAAUAGCGUAAUGGAUCUGGCACCAGGCAAACAGCUAGAAAGUGAGGUUGUAAACGCUUAUCUCCACAACAUUGCAGACUGAUUAAAUAUGUCAGGAGAGAAAAAGGCAUAUUUAAUAGAUUCCUAUCAGAUGACCUCAGUCUGGAAAGGAAACCAAAAAGGCUUGAAAAAGCUGGAUCCAUCCAUGUAUGAUAUGUGCUUUUUGGAGCAGUUUGUGUAAACAACCAUUGGACAUUUAUAGCAAUGUACCCAAAGAUGGGAAAGUCCAUAUAAAUUUACCCUUUUGGCGCCAAACAUACAUUAAUCGGCAGUGGCGUAUCCAGGACAUUUUUACUGGGGUGGCCAAGAUGGGGCACAGACCUAGUGUGGGGUGGCGAUACCGAGAGAACCUUUAUGAAUGGCACAUGAUCAAAAUGUGUGUUUCUAUAGAUUCUUCGUUCUUGUGUUGAUGAACAUGAUGAACUAUCAAUCAGUUCUGGGGUGGCCAAUGAGAUUUCAGGGGUGGCCCAGGCCACCACAGGCCACCCCCUAAAAUCGCCACUAGUAAUCGGCCAAUGCAAAGAUGUGAAAAGGCAAGUAUGUGAAGUCUGUUGAACUGAGAGGGAGGUAUGUGUCAUUCUAUAACAUGCUGUUUUUGAAUUGUGGCCUACUGCCAGGUGCACUUUCUGUUUCAUAGAUCUUUCAUGAGGAUGAGGGGUCUGCACAUUUCAAGGUGGAGGAGUGUCACACAAUUGUGCAUCAUGUGGUGCAUUUGUUUGCAAAGAGCUGGAUGCUUGAGGCAGGGAGACUAGCAUUUCUUCUGUAUCUGGUGGAUUGUUUUCUUUUCGCUAUGUGCUUUACUUUGCUCAUCAUCAUGUCCUCUUUUGGCACUUAAAGGUGCUGUAAGAGAUUUUUAGCCGUUCUGAAACUUUCACCCGAUCGGCUGUUGAAUAAGCGACACCCCCUCUUUCCAAAACCCGCCCUCCAUAGACACACACGUUCACACACUGUAACAGUUGGUAAUAUAAUUGACAUUUAUUUGUGUAUGCAUGGUACCUUUAAGACACUAGCCCUUCUCAUUUGCAUAUUACAUGUUGAGUAUGGUGUGUUUGCUUAGUAUACGUGCGCAGGUAGAGUAAGAGUAAGGUAAACAGAUCUGCUCUGCUGUACUGAUUUACCCAAUGUAUCUUGUAUCUUGCACUAAAAGUAAGUACUGUGUUGAUGAUAAAGUCCACUUUUUUUCUGUAUUGUAAGUGUGCACCAGAAUUGGGACAAACUGCCACGUCAUAAUUUUGUCUUGAUACCACAGACCGUCUUGUUAAGUACUGUUUGCAUUUGCAUGCAAGAAUAAGAAUUUGUUACCAUAAAAUUUAGUAUAAAUUAAAUUUUCAUUUUAUAAUAAACUGCAGUGACAAUUUUGUCAUUGUAUUCUUCUGCACUUUAAUUGAAAAAGUCAAAAGUGAAUAGUCACAAAGCCCAUUGCACAAGAGGUCAAAGCUAAAAAAGCAUACAUGGUUGAAUUUCGAAAAUGACUAGAAAAAGUCACCUUUGGCUUACUAUUUUAAAUGUCUUAUUAUUUAGGGUUAGGUAGUAAUUCUCAUCUCGCAUACUAUGUAGGACAAACAGUACACCAAUUGGGAUGCAGCAUUAGUAACCUUAGAUUAUUCAUAUUAUAUGGUUGAUGUUUUAAAGGGAUAACUUCAUAACU